rnacentral:rRNA from 1 species
GACGAACGCUGGCGGCGUGCUUAACACAUGCAAGUCGAACGGGCCUGUCUUCUUUUUUGGGGGGUGGGUUGAGUGGCGAACGGGUGAGUAUCACGUGAGUAACCUGCCCUUCGGUCCUGGAUAACCGCUUGAAAGGGCGGCUAAUACGGGGUGGUCCGGUUGGUCCGCAUGGGCUGGUCGGGAUAGAUUCACUGUUUUUGGUGUUUCGGCGGGGGAUGGGCUCGCGGCCUAUCAGCUUGUUGGUGGGGUGAUGGCCUACCAAGGCGGUGACGGGUAGCCGGCAGGAGAGGGUGGGCGGCAACACUGGGACUGAGAUACGGCCAAGACGCGUGCGGGAGGCAGCAGUGGGGGGUAUUGCACAAUGGGCGGAAGCCUGAUGCAGCGACGUCGCGUGAGGGAGGGAGGCCUUCGGGUUGUGAACCUCUGUUUCCGGUGGUGAAGGCCCUGUCCGUGUGGUGGGGUUGACGGUAGCCGGGGAUGAAGCGCCGGCUAACUACGUG